AAGCGCUUAUGACCAGACUUGUGCCUUGUGAAUCAUCCAGCGUUCUCGCUGGUGCACUUUGCAUGGUUCAGGCCAGCAUCGGUUUCUCUAGGGAGAUAAAAGCUCUGGGAAUGUGGCUCCUCCGGGAGUGUUAUAGCCCGUUGCAGAAUAUCUUUGGAGGGACCGAGGUUCGCGCUCUGCAAGGAUGCUGGCGUAAUGGUCAUCAGCGA
rnacentral:rRNA from 1 species